rnacentral:lncRNA from 1 species
GUCCAAUAGUUCCAGAAAUCCUUGUGAACAUUACAACAUAGGUCCAAGUCUUUUGAACUUUUUAAGUCUGAAUCUUCCUAUCUACAAUAUGGGAAUAAUACUCAUUGGAGAUUAUGAAAUGAAAAGCACUUUUGGAAAAAAGACCUCUGAGAAUUCUUUUCUUCACGAAUAAAUUGUCAAAAAUCAACUCUAGAGCUGGGGACUGUACUGCAAGAUUUGCAUUUUACUCAAGAAAAUGUCUGAAUCUGGGACACUCUCUUACAGUAAAGCCCUGGAUGAUGUUUUCUGUUCUGCUAACCUUUGCCUUUUGAUUGAAGACUUUAAUCUACUAACAUUUCAAGUGAGUACUAAUGAGGAAAUAAUUACUUCUGCCACUUUGCCACCUUUUUGACCAUGUUCCCCAUUG